rnacentral:lncRNA from 1 species
UGAUAUUAGAGGUAGAACAAACUAUCUGUACAGAAAGCUAGAUUGUUUUUCUUGUUGUGGUCCUAAAAUGCUUGGCUCCAUAAUGCAGUAAGAGCUCUCUAAUACACCACUAUGGCAGUUUUGACGGUUUCUUGCUUCUUUUAGUUUUUCAUGUCAUCCUCUGAAACAUUGAAUUUCACAUUUAUCAAACAUAGCCUACUACACUGAUUAAUUAAAACAUUCACUCAUUUGUUCAUUCAUGUUUAUUCAAUGCUCUCUACAUGACAGGUACUAGGCUAGUGAUCAACAAUAAAUACAAUAUGAACCCUGCCCUUGGAAGGCUUACAGUGAACAUAUCAACCAAAAAUAAACCAAAGUGUCAAGGUGUACAGUGGAGAGACAGGAAGGAUCAGAUGAUGGGUCUCGAUGUCUUUUGCUUAAAGAGUUGGAGGAAAUAGAAACGACUCCUGGGGACAGAAUUUAGAAG